rnacentral:lncRNA from 13 species
AUGAAAACCGCUCUCGUUCUCUUGCUGACAUCAGCCUUACAACAAGCCGCGUUUUGGGGGACUAAUGGAGACCUCGUGUCCAAAGCCCCCUGCAGACCCGGCUUCUCGCAAAGUUCCUACUCUGUGCUCAUUUCAAGGGAUGUACUGCAAAGCCAGAGCAUAAUUAAAGCCCAAAACAAUCUGAGCCUGCUGCACACCCCGUGGUGACGUUUCACACAGUCUGAAAGAGAGGGGCCCUGGGAGUUGGGAAGGUGUGAAAAACUAAUGAGUAGAAUGGCCUUUAAGUCCGGUAAAAACAACAACCAUUCAACUCCAAUCAAUUCUCAUCAGCAGCACCGCCCCAAUGCACCCGGAGUAGAGUCAGUCUGCACGCUACUGAAUUCCAGUCUCCCCAUGUGAAUUGAUGGACUUCAAGAGAGGCUAGGUAGACCGUGCAUUUGCCUGUUGGACACAAUGACACAUUUUAAUAAAAUGUAGUAAAUUAGAUCUAUAUUCAUGUUGGUAACUGCAUUUCUGUUCUGUGGGAUGGUUGGGAGGUACAAAUGACAAUCUCCAGUGGAGGGCCUCAGUGCUCUCAAUUUCAGGCUGGGGGAGGAGAGGGGAUAGAGAGAAGCCUCAGCCCCAGUGACUGGAAUAUAGGCAUGGUAGAUGGGGUUAUUUUCGGAUAGAUAUUUCAUUAUAUCGGAUAGCUAGAUAUGAAAGGGAAGGGAAAGGGGAAUACCUAGUCAGUUGCACAACUGAAUGCAUUUAGCCCAACUCCUCUGUUACUGUACGUGGGUGUUUGCUGCAAGUUGAGGCAUGCCUUACAAAAAUGAAAUGAAUUGAAACGUGGAAGAUGUUUCCAAUCACUGCGAGGUAGGUUGUUUCGCAGAUUUUGAUUGAAUAAUGUUCAGAGGCUGAGUUUCUGAGUAGCCUAUACACCAUUCUAAUCUUAUACUGGUUACACACCAUGUCCAUGCUGGGAACCAGUGCCUGUACAUGUCUCUUACUGGGAAGUGAACCGGCGUUUGUACUCUACCAGUCCCAGGGCCUCCCGGGAAGAGAGUUAACAUGAAAUAUAAAUGACAGUCCUCUUCAUUAAUUAUAUCAGACCACAAACCCACAUGUAUCAGCAGGCAUUAAACCCGUGUUAAUCAAUGCUCCUUUUUUUUUGUAUGAAUAUUGAUGUGUUCAUAAAAGCCGGCACUCUGAUUGGGAGGACCUCCACUCCUUUCAUGCAGGGCUGUAGGGAUUAUUAAAAAAUGCAUGAAACAUAAAAGUAAUAUGCAAAGUUUAUUAACUUUAAAAUUCCCCUGCGCCGGGCACUAUGUGAUUACACAGCGCUAAUUUAAAAAACUACCAGGCUGAAUGCAUGUCUCCAUUGUACACACUGUGUGUGCGUGCGUGUGGCGAUGACCUGUUAGUAAGUGGAGACAUCUGAGAAUACACUCUUCUAAACU